UUAAAACAUCAGUUCCCAUACAAUCACCGAAGUUAAGAAACAUCAAGCCUGAUCAGAACCUAGAUGGGUGACUGCUUGAGAAUACCAGGUGCUGCAA